rnacentral:rRNA from 1 species
GGGUCAGUAGGUUGGUCGUGCCACCGGUACGUACUGGUCUCACUGAUUCCUCCUUCCUGAAGAACCGUAAUGCCAUUAAUUUGGUGUUGCGGGGAAACAGGACUGUUACUUUGAAAAAAUUAGAGUCUUUAAAGCAAGCUAACGCUUGAAUACAUUAGCAUGGAAUGAUGAAAUAGGACGAUCGAUCCUAUUUUGUUGGUUUCUAGGAUUGACGUAAUCAUUAAUAGGGAUACUUGGG